ACUCCUACGGGAGGCAGCAGUGGGGAAUUUUGCGCAAUGGGCGAAAGCCUGACGCAGCAACGCCGCGUGAGUGAUGAAGGCUUUCGGGUCGUAAAGCUCUGUCGAGGGGAAAGAAGUGUAGAGUGGCUAAUAUCCAUUUUACUUGACGGUACCCCUAAAGGAAGCACCGGCUAACUCCGUGCCAGCAGCCGCGGUAAUACGGGGGGUGCAAGCGUUGUUCGGAAUUAUUGGGCGUAAAGAGCGUGUAGGCGGUUUGUUAAGUCUGAUGUGAAAGCCCUGGGCUCAACCCAGGAAGUGCAUUGGAUACUGGCAGACUUGAAUACGGGAGAGGGUAGUGGAAUUCCUGGUGUAGGAGUGAAAUCCGUAGAUAUCAGGAGGAACACCGGUGGCGAAGGCGGCUACCUGGACCGAUAUUGACGCUGAGACGCGAAAGCGUGGGUAGCAAACAGGAUUAGAUACCCUGGUAGUCCACGCCGUAAACGAUGAGAACUAGGUGUUGCGGGUAUUGACCCCUGCAGUGCCGCAGCUAACGCAUUAAGUUCUCCGCCUGGGAAGUACGGUCGCAAGACUAARACUCAWAUGAAUUGACGGA
rnacentral:rRNA from 1 species